UAAUCUUUGGUAAAGUUGCUGCUUCCUUCUCACGGUAACAAUCUCUUCCACAUCUCAUCUAGUCUACCACUGAUUUUGCUUAUUUCCCUCACCAAAUUUCUUGAAUUUUUUUUUUUUACGAUCUCUGCUUCCUUUUCUGAUUGAAUCGAAUCAUCUGGAGCUCAACAUCUUGCACAUAUCAUCUUAUUAUACCAUUCCCUGUUUUCCUUUCCCCCCUCAGUACGUACCAUAUCUCAUUAUACAUUCUUCUCUGCUCUAUCUCUCUGUUUUUUUUCUCCUGAAUACUGCUCAAGCAAACCAGCACUCGAAGAACAACUCGAGUAUAGGAGGAGAAAAUGUUACGAUCAUAUGAUCCAUUUUGGAAUCAUGUUAAAAAAAUGGACGAUGGUAUGGAGUGUAAGUUUUGUGGGCAUUUAUUUGCCAAAGGUACUUCCAUUUCGAGGAUCAAAUUGCAUUUAUCAGGAGUUACAGGCCGUGGUGUUAAAAUCUGUAAAAAUGUCCCAGAAGUAGUUCAACAUGCAGCCCGUGCAACAAUUGAUGGCCCUCCAGAAAAAAAACUUAAAACUGUAGCAGGCUCUGGAAGUAACGAGGCCAAUAAUGCAAUUUCAGCUUCGGCACAAGAACAGAACAAUGAAGGGAGACAUGUAGAAAUGGCACAGCAAGGAGAAGCUUUUUCCCCUGGAGCGCUCGAAGAGUGGGUGGAUAGCAUCACCGAUAAAGAGAUAGAGCUUAUGCGUGAUGCAUUUGAGACUAUAUCGAGAACAGAACAGGUGCUGCAUCUGGAGAGAGGUAGCUCUCUUGAGAGGCCAUCAAUUAAUCAAGCUGAUGAGCCUCGAGGAGAUUCAUCCCAACCAACAGAUUCGUUGUGCCUUGACCAUGGAAUAUAUAAUGAUCAACUCUGGUCUCCAUCUGUAAACAACGAUGUCAUUAUGAAUGAUGUGCAGAACAUGGUUAGAGUGAGGACAGAACCAGAGGAGGGGAGGGAGGAGGAGGAGGAGAACAAUAGUGGAAGAUCAGUGCAGCCUGGCGUAGAAGCUAGUUCUUCCGGAGGCCUUAAAUGCGAUGCAAGAGAGACUAGAGGAGAUCCAUUACCUAUUGGCUCUACAGGGCUAGUGGGUCGAGCAUUUGAAGAGAAUAUGCAUGUUAUACGGUCUUUAUUAAUAGACGAUGGAGUCUCAACCAUUGGUAUUUAUGGAAUGGGAGGAGUUGGUAAAACAACAAUGCUGCAACAUAUCCAUAGUGAACUUCUACAAAGACCAGACUUUUAUUAUGUUUACUGGGUGACUAUGUCUCGAGAUUUUAGCAUUAAUAGAUUGCAGAAUCUUAUUGCUAGACGUCUUGAUCUAGAUCUUUCAAGUGAAGAUGAUGAUGUGAGUAGAGCUGUUAAAUUGUCAAAAGAACUAAGAAAUAAAAAAAAAUGGAUUCUCAUUUUAGAUGAUUUGUGGAACUUUUUUAGGCCACACAAAGUGGGAAUUCCUAUCCCAUUGAAAGGAUGUAAGUUGAUUAUGACAACUCGAUCAGAACGGAUUUGUGACCGGAUGGAUUGCCAACACAAAAUGAAAGUGAUGCCACUUUCUGAGGGAGAAGCUUGGACUUUGUUCAUGGAGGAACUUGGACAUGACAUAGCAUUUUCUCCAAAAGUUGAACGAAUUGCAGUAGCUGUUACAAGGGAAUGUGCUGGUUUGCCAUUGGGGAUUAUAACAGUGGCGGGAAGCUUGAGGGGAGUGGAUGACAUACACGAGUGGAGGAAUACAUUGAAGAGAUUGAAAGAAUCAAAACUUAGAGACAUGGAAGAUGAGGUAUUCCGGUUAUUGAGGUUUAGUUAUGAUCGAUUAGAUGAUUUGGCCCUACAAAAAUGUCUCUUAUAUUGUACAUUGUUUCCUGAAGAUCAUAAGAUUGAAAGGGAGGAGUUGAUAGAUUAUUUGAUCGAUGAGGGAAUAGUGGAAGGAAUAGGGAGGAGGCAAGAAGAACAUGAUGAGGGCCACACCAUGCUCAAUAGACUUGAAGAUGUCUGCCUAUUGGAAUGGGGUAGAUUGUGUAAUGUUCGUAGAUUUGUCAAGAUGCAUGACUUGAUAAGGGACAUGGCCAUCCAAAUACUGCAAGAGAACUCUCAUGUCAUUAUUCAAGCAGGUGCACAAUUAAGAGAAUUACCGGAUGCAGAGGAGUGGACAGAGAAUCUUACGAGAGUUUCACUAAUGCAAAAUCACAUUAGAGAAAUUCCUUCAAGUCAUUCACCAAGGUGUCCCCAUCUGUCAACUCUAUUACUAUGUCAUAAUGAAAGGUUGAGAUUUAUUGCAGAUUCAUUUUUUAAGCAAUUACUUGGGCUUAAGGUUCUUGAUCUGUCUUAUACAAAUAUUGAAAAUUUGGCGGAUUCUGUCUCUGAUUUGGUGAGUCUCACUACAUUAUUGCUUAAAGGUUGUGAGAAGUUAAGACAUGUACCAUCAUUACAGAAGCUCAGGGCAUUGAGGAAGUUAGAUCUCUCUAAUACAACACUUGAAAAGAUGCCUCAAGGCAUGGCAUGUCUAUCCAACUUGAGAUAUCUUAGAAUGAAUGGAUGUGGUGAGAAGGAGUUUCCUAGUGGGAUACUAUCAAAACUCUCUCACUUGCAAGUCUUUGUAUUAGAGGAGUGGAUGCCUACUGGAUUUGAAUCAGAAUAUGUCCCAGUAACAGUUAAGGGAAAGGAAGUAGGGUGCUUGAGGAAGUUGGAAACUUUAGAAUGCCACUUUGAAGGCCGUUCUGACUUGGUAGAGUAUCUUAAAUUUCGGGAUGAGAACCACUCACUAAGUACAUACAAAAUUUUUGUAGGUCUGUUUGAGGAGUUUUAUCUUUUAGAUAAGUAUUCGUUUUGUAGAGAUAAAAGUGUUUGGUUGGGUAAUUUGACUUUCAACGGAGAUGGGAAUUUUCAGGACAUGUUCUUAAAUGACCUUCAAGAACUGCUGAUUUAUAAAUGUAACGAUGCAACAAGUUUAUGUGAUGUUCCAUCCUUGAUGAAGACUGCAACUGAACUGGAGGUCAUCGCCAUUUGGGAUUGUAAUGGCAUAGAGAGCUUGGUUUCAUCUUCUUGGUUUUGCUCUGCUCCACUACCAUCUUCAUCUUAUAAUGGAAUAUUUUCAAGUCUUAAAAAGUUCAGUUGUUAUAGAUGUAGAAGCAUGAAGAAGAUGUUCCCUCUUGCCUUGUUGCCAAGCCUCGUAAACCUGGAACAGAUUAUAGUUUAUGGCUGUGAGAAAAUGGAGGAGAUAAUAUGGACAAGAUCAGAUGAAGAAGAUGUUGUGGGUGAAGAAGAGAGCAGCAGCAACAUCGAAUUCAAACUCCCUAAGUUAAGAAUUCUGGACUUGUAUGACUUGCCAAAACUUAAAAGCAUUUGUAGUGCAAAGCUGAUUUGCGAUUCUCUCGAAGAAAUUCUAGUAUCAUAUUGUCAGGAGCUAAAGAGAAUGGGAAUUUUCCCCCAAUUGCUUGAAAAUGGCCAGCCAUCUCCUCCCCCUUCUCUUGUAAGAAUAUGUAUAUAUCCAAAAGAAUGGUGGGAGUCAGUAGUGGAGUGGGAGCAUCCGAACACAAAGGAUGUCCUUCUACCCUUUGUAGUGUUUUCAUAGGAGAUGACUCCAUGCUUAAUAUUUGAUUACAGAUAUUGCAAGGCCAGUUAGAUUUUGAGUCUAAGCCAUGACCUAACAUUUCAAGCAGUGCCAAGGAUCUCUUAAGAAAAUGCAUGAACAUGAUCCAAAGGAAUGGCUAACAGCUCAUUAAGUGCUAUGGCAUCUCUUCCACAAUAUCCGGAAAGGCCUCCAGUUUCUCUUAGGCAGUAAGCAGCAGAGUGGCAAGAAAUUUCAAUCUGAAUCUGCUGAGAAGUGUUUGAAAAUCUUACAACAUCAAGGCAAAGCUCCACAAAAGCCUCAGAGGGUUGGGUUUUUCUAAAUGCAUCAAUGGGACAUAGUUCCUCCACCUUGUGUAGUGUUUCCGCUCCAUGGGAAAACAGCAAAUGUUCAUAUCUUCUCGUAAUAAUGAUUCUACUGUCUGUACCAAAGCAAUCUAUUCAUCCAGCUAACAUCAUCAAUGUCAAUAAGAACCUUUUUAGUGCACAA